AUUGAACGCUGGCGGCAUGCUUUACACAUGCAAGUCGAACGGUAACAGGGAGCUUGCUCCGCUGACGAGUGGCGAACGGGUGAGUAAUGCAUCGGAACGUACCCAGUCGUGGGGGAUAACGUAGCGAAAGUUACGCUAAUACCGCAUACGUCCUGAGGGAGAAAGCGGGGGACCGAAAGGCCUCGCGCGAUUGGAGCGGCCGAUGUCGGAUUAGCUAGUUGGUAGGGUAAAGGCCUACCAAGGCGACGAUCCGUAGCGGGUCUGAGAGGAUGAUCCGCCACACUGGGACUGAGACACGGCCCAGACUCCUACGGGAGGCAGCAGUGGGGAAUUUUGGACAAUGGGCGCAAGCCUGAUCCAGCCAUGCCGCGUGAGUGAAGAAGGCCUUCGGGUUGUAAAGCUCUUUCGGCCGGGAAGAAAUCGCAUGGGUCAAUACCCUGUGUGGAUGACGGUACCGGAAUAAGAAGCACCGGCUAACUACGUG
rnacentral:rRNA from 1 species